UUUAAAUUUAUUUAUUUAAAUAUUUAUAUAUAUAUAUAUAUAUAUAUAUUAAAAAUAGUUAUAAAAUAAAAAUUUUUAGUAUUAAUUUAAGAAAAAAUAUUAUUAAUUAUAGAAUAUUAGUAUUGAAAAAGAAAAUUGAAAUAAUUAUGAAAAAUAAUAAUUAUAAAAGAAAAAUUAAUUUUUUGUACCUUGUGUAUCAGGGUUUAUUAAAUAAAAUUUAAUUAAUAUAAAUUUCUCGAUUUUAAAAGAUUUAAUAUAUUAUAAAAUAUAAGGUAAUAAAUUUAUUUUUAAUAAUAUAUUUGAAAUGAAAUGUUAUUCGUUUUUAAAGGUAUCUAGUUUAUUAAGAAAUAAAUUUAAUUUAUAAAUUUUAUAUUAUUUAUUUAAUUUUAAAAAUAAAUAAAUAUUUAAUUUAAAUAUUUUAUGGGAUAAGCUAUAAAAUAAAAUUUUAUAAAUAAAAAAUUUAUUAUAUUAAAUAUAGGGUUAAAAUUAUUCAUUAUUGAGAAAAAUGUAAUAAUUUAUUAUAAAAUUAUAAAAAAAUUUAUUUUAUUUUAAUUAUUUAUUAAUAUAUAUUUUUUAAUUUGUUAAAAUUAGAAAUAAUGAUAAAAUUAGUAUAAAUUUUUAUAUAAAUAUAUUUAUUUUUUAAAUUUUUUUAAAGAAUUCGGCAAAUUAAUAUAUUCACCUGUUUAACAAAAACAUCUCUUUAUGAUUAAAUAUAAGGUUUAACCUGCCCACUGAAUUUUUAAAUGGCUGCAGUAUAUUGACUGUACAAAGGUAGCAUAAUCAUUAGUUUUUUAAUUGGAAACUGGAAUGAAUGGUUGAAUGAAAUAUAAACUGUUUCAAUAAAAAUAAUUUAGAAUUUUAUUUUUUAGUAAAAAAGCUAAAAUAAUUUUAAAAGACGAGAAGACCCUAUAAAUCUUUAUAUAAAUUAUAAAUAUUUAAUUAUUUAGAAGUUUAUAAAAUAUUUAUUAUUUAUAUUUUAUUGGGGAGAUAAUAAAAUUUAAAAAACUUUUAUUUUUAAAAUUCAUUAAUUUAUGAAUUAUUGAUUAAUUAUUAAUGAAUAAUAAAAUAAGUUACUUUAGGGAUAACAGCGUAAUUAUUUUGGAGAGUUCAUAUUGAUAAAAUAGA
rnacentral:rRNA from 1 species